rnacentral:rRNA from 1 species
GUCUACAGCUGUACCGUCCUGACUCCAUCUGCUCUCCUCUGGUCUCAGAAGCUAAGCAGGCUCAGAUCUUGUGAGCAUUUGGAUGGGAAAGAAGUCCGAAUGUUGAAUUUGGAAGGUGGGAGUACUGAAGUGA